rnacentral:lncRNA from 1 species
UGGUCUUUGUAGGUGUCACGCCUCGAGACCGCUACCAAUUUGGUCCGGUUCGGGCACGUCGAACAAACGCCGGACGGACAGCACCUCCCUUGUCCGCCCAAGGCUAGCAACGAGAUUGUGUACAUCAAGUUUCUAGGAAAAUAACUUGAAUACAUACACAAUCGAUAACUACAACAAGAGCACAAUCAGUGCUAAACAACCGAGAGCAAGAUACAAGUAUGAGACGUACAAGUAAUGAUAAAGAGAGAGCAUCUAUCUAUUACAUUCAUUCAAUCCACAAUUUACAUCUCAUUUAAAAUAUAUUUAAAUCUCCAAAAUAUAAACAUCAACUUACAUUCAUUCCAGAAUUCCUCACAUCCUAUACAUCAUCUACUCUCAAUGUAUAUAAAGGUAACUCUAAUGCAAAUAGGAAGCAUCUAUCAAAACUAGCACUAAGACGCUAAGCCCUUACCGCGAUCAUCUGCCGGUCCGCUCUCGUAUGUACCUGUACCCCAAAACCACACGGGGUGAGAACUAUAUAAAUAUAGUUCCCAGUGGGUUCGGCCGCCGACUCCGCCGGUCUCCCCACUAGGUCCAAGUGGGCACAAGUAGAUAUACCGAUAGAUAGAUAUGGAAAACUGUAAAUGACAGAAGUAAAGCUACGCUACUAUGCCCAAUCAUAAAUAUAUGAAUGCAUGUACAAAGAAAUAGGUAAGCAACUAACCUGUUAUCAUGUCCAAAGGUAAGACUAUUUACUCGUUCAUUAACCUCAUUUACUUGUUCACUAAUCUCAUUUACUUGUUCAUUAAUCUCAUGGCUUACCCGAAGGCUCGCCUACGGCUCACUAGCCAUCUCGACGCGUAGGGAGAAUUAACUCAUACUACGAAUCCGAAACCAUCUGGCGGGACCCCAAAUAGGCUAUCCCUCGGGACCCCAAAUAGGUCGUCCCACGUGACCAACUCCGGAGAGCACGACUUGUGUGGAGCGACCAUCACAAGUUAAAAACAGACCGUGAGCAUGAUCCAAUCCUCUAAGCUCGAGGAUACCCUAUCCUCUAGGGUUACAAUCAUAAUAUAAUCCAUAGGUUUCAUAUACACUACGACUCACAUAUAUCACUUGUUCUUUUGUUUACUAUCAACUAGAUACCACUCGUUCUUUACAAGUUUCCAAUGCAAUAGCCAAUAUAUUACUAAGUUCCCAUCCACACUUAUCAUCUCAUUAUAGGGUUCCACAUCACAUAUAUAAACCUCAAGCAUGCUUGAUAUAAGUACUAAGCCAAAUACAUUAUUCUACCAAAGAACAUGCAAGGUAUAGGACCAAACCAUCAUUUAUCACCCUAUAAUGCAAGAUGUCAAUAUGCAAUUUGAUCAAUAUAAAACUUAGACAUAAAAGGGAGUCAGUUGAUUCGGGAUGGUCACCACCCACCUUUUAUAGCGUUCCGAUUGCUCGUCGUCACUCGCAAUCGGCCUCCUGCGGCGCACACCGCACGGCUCGACCUAACUCACGCGCGACUACCAAAUGACCUCCGAUCCGCGAUCUGAAAAUUAAAGGUCUUCGGUUCUUUGUCACGAUGCUCGAAAUCUGAUCCCACGAUUUAUGGAAGCCGCCUCGGCUCCCGGGUCAACUCUGAGCUACGAACACUUGUUUCAGCCGGAACGUCGCACCCGCUCGACGAAUCGACGAACCGUCGCUUCCCACACAUUCAGCGACCUAUCAAUUCGGUUUACAGAGGGUUAAAAGAGAUCAAACCCAACUAUUUACAAAAACCCCAUUUUGAGCCCUAGGUUUACAACUAGGCAAGAAUCCACCAUUUGGACUCACAAAUCAAGCAUCAACCAUCUAAUUAGCAUCAAAGGGGUCCACUAAAUCCAUUUCUAGAGAUUAAAACCUAAUCUCUAAGCAUCUACCAUUAAUGGGCUAGAAGCUCACCUCUACUAGCUUGCUCCAAAAUGAAGAAGAAGAAGAUGAUGGUGAUGAUGAUCCCUCCAAGCUUCUUCUCCUCCCUUUUUCCUCUUCUCCUUCCUCUUCUUCUUCUUCUCUUUCUUUUCUUUCUAGAAAGAGAGAGAGGGAGAGUUUAGGACUUUAGAGU